rnacentral:pre_miRNA from 1 species
UUCAGCCAAUCUGGGACUAGCCAGUGUUGAGAGGCGGAGACUUGGGCAAUUGCCGGCAAUCCCAGAGGGCAUUGCACUUGUCUCGGUCUGACAGUGCUGGCACUGCGCGGCA